GGACUCACAAGAAACAACUAUGAUCUCGGUCCAUACUUCUUUGCUAUCCCAUAUGUACACCCUGAUCAGUUAUGGAAUGUAAAGAAGUAUGUAUCCUUGCUCAUGGACAAACGGCGAAGCAGCU
rnacentral:pre_miRNA from 10 species